rnacentral:rRNA from 1 species
GGGGGUGACGAAGUAGUGAAAGAACCGCCUGGUGACGGACAUCCAGGUUAAAGGGUGUAGUUAUAUACAUGGGUUAACAGCUUGUGUAUGAUGAACCUGAUAGUACCGUGAGGCUUCGGCUGAGCGGAUAGUGUUCCUAAUCAGACUUCCAAGAAAAUCCUCUAAGCUUCAGACAUGUGGUGCCCGUACCACAAACCGACACAGGUAGUCGAGGAGAGAAUCCUAAGGUGCUCGAGUGAUCCGUGGCUAAGGAACUAGGCAAAUUGAGCCUGUAACUUCGGGAUAAAGGUUCCCCUGUUUAUCAAUGGGGGCGCAGAGAAAUGGCCCUGGCGACUGUUUAACAAAAACACAAGGCUUUGCGAAAUUGAAAGAUGAAGUAUAAGGCCUGACACCUGCCCGGUGCCGGAAGGUUAAGAGGGGGAGUCAUUCUCAGCAAUGGGAAGAAGCUCUGAAUCGAAGCCCCGGUAAACGGCGGCCGUAACAAUAACGGUCCUAAGGUAGCGAAAUUCCUUGUCGGGUAAGUUCCGACCUGCACGAAUGGUGUAACGAUCUGGGCACUGUCUCAGCCACGAGCUCGGUGAAAUUGUAGUUCCGGUGAAGAUGCCGGAUACCCGCAACGGGACGGAAAGACCCCGUGAACCUUUACUAUAGCUUAACAUUGAUUUUGGGUAAGUGAUGUGUAGGAUAGGUCGGAGACUGUGAACCGGUUUCGCCAGGAAUCGGGGAGUCAACGUUGAAAUACGACCCUUCAUUUACCUGGAAUCUAAUCCGUCAACCGACGGAGACAUUGUUUGGUGGGUAGUUUGACUGGGGUGGUCGCCUCCAAAAGAGUAACGGAGGCUCCUCAAGGUGCCCUCAGCACGAUUGGUAACCGUGCGGAGAGUGUAAUGGCACAAGGGCGCUUGACUGUGAGACUGACAAGUCGAUCAGGUACGGAAGUAGAGCAUAGUGAUCCGGUGGUUCCGUAUGGAAGGGCCAUCGCUCAAAGGAUAAAAGGUACUCCGGGGAUAACAGGCUGAUCGCCGCCAAGAGCUCAUAUCGACGCGGCGGUUUGGCGCCUCGAUGUCGGCUCGUCACAUCCUGGGGCUGAAGAAGGUCCCAAGGGUUCGGCUGUUCGCCGAUUAAAGUGGCACGCGAGCUGGGUUCAGAACGUCGUGAGACAGUUCGGUCCCUAUCUGUUGUGGGCGCUGGAGAUUUGAGAGAAACUGAUACUAGUACGAGAGGACCGUGUUGGACAGACCGCUAGUGUACCUGUUGUGGCGCCAGCUGCAUCGCAGGGUAGCUAUGUUUGGAACAGAUAAGCACUGAAAGCAUCUAAGUGCGAAGCUCGUCUCAAGAUGAGAUCUCCCUUAAGGGUCGUUGUAGACUACGACGUUGAUAGGCUGCAGGUGUAAAGGUGGCAACAUCAAAGCUGAGCAGUACUAAUUACCCU